AACGAACGCUGGCGGCAGGCCUAACACAUGCAAGUCGAGCGAGGACUUCGGUUCUAGCGGCGGACGGGUGAGUAACGCGUGGGAAUGUGCCCUUCUCUACGGAAUAGCCCUGGGAAACUGGGAGUAAUACCGUAUACGCCCUAUUGGGGAAAGAUUUAUCGGAGAAGGAUCAGCCCUCGUUGGAUUAGGUAGUUGGUGGGGUAAUGGCCUACCAAGCCGACGAUCCAUAGCUGGUUUGAGAGGAUGAUCAGCCACACUGGGACUGAGACACGGCCCAGACUCCUACGGGAGGCAGCAGUGGGGAAUCUUAGACAAUGGGGGCAACCCUGAUCUAGCCAUGCCGCGUGAGUGAUGAAGGCCUUAGGGUUGUAAAGCUCUUUCAGCUGGGAAGAUAAUGACGGUACCAGCAGAAGAAGCCCCGGCUAACUCCGUG
rnacentral:rRNA from 1 species